rnacentral:rRNA from 1 species
UAGAGUUUGAUCAUGGCUCAGAUUGAACGCUGGCGGCAGGCCUAACACAUGCAAGUCGAGCGGAAACGAGAAUAGCUUGCUAUUCGGCGUCGAGCGGCGGACGGGUGAGUAAUGCCUGGGAAAUUGCCCUGAUGUGGGGGAUAACCAUUGGAAACGAUGGCUAAUACCGCAUGAUGUCUUCGGACCAAAGUAGGGGAUCUUCGGACCUUACGCCUUUAGAGGAGCCCAAGUGAGAUUAGCUAGUUGGUGAGGUAAUGGCUCACCAAGGCGACGAUCUUUAGCUGGUUUGAGAGGAUGAUCAGCCACACUGGGACUGAGACACGGCCCAGACUCCUACGGGAGGCAGCAGUGGGGAAUAUUGGACAAUGGGCGGAAGCCUGAUGCAGCCAUGCCGCGUGUAUGAAGAAGGCCUUCGGGUUGUAAAGUACUUUCAGUUGUGAGGAAGGGUGUGUAGUUAAUAGCUGCGCAUCUUGACGUUAGCAACAGAAGAAGCACCGGCUAACUCCGUGCCAGCAGCCGCGGUAAUACGGAGGGUGCGAGCGUUAAUCGGAAUUACUGGGCGUAAAGCGCAUGCAGGUGGUUCAUUAAGUCAGAUGUGAAAGCCCGGGGCUCAACCUCGGAACUGCAUUUGAAACUGGUGAACUAGAGUGCUGUAGAGGGGGGUAGAAUUUCA